rnacentral:rRNA from 1 species
ACUUAAAUUGAAGAGUUUGAUCAUGGCUCAGAUUGAACGCUGGCGGCAGGCCUAACACAUGCAAGUCGAGCGGUAGCACAGAGAGCUUGCUCUCGGGUGACGAGCGGCGGACGGGUGAGUAAUGUCUGGGAAACUGCCUGAUGGAGGGGGAUAACUACUGGAAACGGUAGCUAAUACCGCAUAACGUCGCAAGACCAAAGUGGGGGACCUUCGGGCCUCAUGCCAUCAGAUGUGCCCAGAUGGGAUUAGCUAGUAGGUGGGGUAAUGGCUCACCUAGGCGACGAUCCCUAGCUGGUCUGAGAGGAUGACCAGCCACACUGGAACUGAGACACGGUCCAGACUCCUACGGGAGGCAGCAGUGGGGAAUAUUGCACAAUGGGCGCAAGCCUGAUGCAGCCAUGCCGCGUGUAUGAAGAAGGCCUUCGGGUUGUAAAGUACUUUCAGCGAGGAGGAAGGCAUUAAGGUUAAUAACCUUGGUGAUUGACGUUACUCGCAGAAGAAGCACCGGCUAACUCCGUGCCAGCAGCCGCGGUAAUACGGAGGGUGCAAGCGUUAAUCGGAAUUACUGGGCGUAAAGCGCACGCAGGCGGUCUGUCAAGUCGGAUGUGAAAUCCCCGGGCUCAACCUGGGAACUGCAUUCGAAACUGGCAGGCUAGAGUCUUGUAGAGGGGGGUAGAAUUCCAGGUGUAGCGGUGAAAUGCGUAGAGAUCUGGAGGAAUACCGGUGGCGAAGGCGGCCCCCUGGACAAAGACUGACGCUCAGGUGCGAAAGCGUGGGGAGCAAACAGGAUUAGAUACCCUGGUAGUCCACGCCGUAAACGAUGUCGACUUGGAGGUUGUGCCCUUGAGGCGUGGCUUCCGGAGCUAACGCGUUAAGUCGACCGCCUGGGGAGUACGGCCGCAAGGUUAAAACUCAAAUGAAUUGACGGGGGCCCGCACAAGCGGUGGAGCAUGUGGUUUAAUUCGAUGCAACGCGAAGAACCUUACCUACUCUUGACAUCCAGAGAACUUAGCAGAGAUGCUUUGGUGCCUUCGGGAACUCUGAGACAGGUGCUGCAUGGCUGUCGUCAGCUCGUGUUGUGAAAUGUUGGGUUAAGUCCCGCAACGAGCGCAACCCUUAUCCUUUGUUGCCAGCGGUUAGGCCGGGAACUCAAAGGAGACUGCCAGUGAUAAACUGGAGGAAGGUGGGGAUGACGUCAAGUCAUCAUGGCCCUUACGAGUAGGGCUACACACGUGCUACAAUGGCAUAUACAAAGAGAAGCGACCUCGCGAGAGCAAGCGGACCUCAUAAAGUAUGUCGUAGUCCGGAUUGGAGUCUGCAACUCGACUCCAUGAAGUCGGAAUCGCUAGUAAUCGUAGAUCAGAAUGCUACGGUGAAUACGUUCCCGGGCCUUGUACACACCGCCCGUCACACCAUGGGAGUGGGUUGCAAAAGAAGUAGGUAGCUUAACCUUCGGGAGGGCGCUUACCACUUUGUGAUUCAUGACUGGGGUGAAGUCGUAACAAGGUAACCGUAGGGGAACCUGCGGUUGGAUCACCUCCUUACCUUAAAGAA